rnacentral:lncRNA from 1 species
AGGGUAAAAAUAAAAAUAGUGUGAGAUACUAUUUUUAUUGGACUUAUAGAAAUACAAUAUAAGUUAGGAUUGACUCGUGCGGAAAUCGGAGCGAGAAUAGAAGAUUUUGAAUUUUCUGUGUGAAUCGAGGCUGUUAUUUUAGCAGAAAAAGUGUCAGAAAAUUCCAAAAAUAUGAAAAAAUGUUAGGAUUAUUUUUAUGAGG